rnacentral:tRNA from 1 species
UUCCUGGUAGUCCAGUGGUUAAGACUUCAGCUUCCAAUGCAGAGGGUGCAGGUUUGACCCCUGGUCAGGGAG